rnacentral:rRNA from 1 species
GAUGAACGCUAGCGGCAGGCUUAACACAUGCAAGUCGAGGGGCAGCAGGGGUAGCAAUACUCGCUGGCGACCGGCAAACGGGUGCGGAACACGUACACAAUCUACCUUUAUCUGGGGUAUAGCCCGAAGAAAUUCGGAUUAAUCCCCCAUAAGAUAUUAGAGUGGCAUCACUUCGAUAUUAAAACUCCGGUGGAUAAAGAUGAGUGUGCGUCCCAUUAGCUAGUUGGUAGGGUAACGGCCUACCAAGGCAACGAUGGGUAGCUGGUGUGAGAGCACGACCGGCCGCACGGGCACUGAGACACGGGCCCGACUCCUACGGGAGGCAGCAGUGAGGAAUAUUGGUCAAUGGACGCGAGUCUGAACCAGCCAUGCCGCGUGAAGGAUGAAGGCCUUCUGGGUUGUAAACUUCUUUUAUUGGGGAAGAAAAUUACGGUUUCUACUGUAACCGACGGUACCCAAGGAAUAAGCACCGGCUAACUCCGUGCCAGCGGCCGCAGUAACAC